AGCAGCCGCGGUAAUUCCAGCUCCAAUAGCGUAUAUUAAAGUUGCUGCAGUUAAAAAGCUCGUAGUUGAAUUUCGGGACUAAUAUGUCGGUCGUGCCUCGGUACGUACUGGUUUAUUGGUUUCUCCUUUCUGAAGAACCAUGAUGUCAUUUAUUUGGUGUCGUGGGGAAUCAGGACUGUUACUUUGAAAAAAUUAGAGUGUUUAAAGCAGGCUCACGCUUGAAUACAUUAGCAUGGAAUAAUGAAAUAGGACGUUUGAUUCUAUUUUGUUGGUUUCUAGGAUCGACGUAAUGAUUAAUAGGGAUAGUUGGGGGCAUUAGUAUUCAAUUGUCAGAGGUGAAAUUCUUGGAUUUAUUGAAGACUAACUACUGCGAAAGCAUUUGCCAAGGAUGUUUUCAUUAAUCAAGAACGAAAGUUAGGGGAUCGAAGACGAUCAGAUACCGUCGUAGUCUUAACCAUAAACUAUGCCGACAAGGGAUCGGAUGAUGUUAAUUUUUAAUGUACUCAUUC
rnacentral:rRNA from 1 species